GAUGAACGCUGGCGGCGUGCCUAUUACAUGCAAGUCGAGCGAACAGAUAAGGAGCUUGCUCCUUUGACGUUAGCGGCGGACGGGUGAGUAACACGUGGAUAACCUACCUAUAAGACUGGGAUAACUUCGGGAAACCGGAGCUAAUACCGGAUAACAUAUUGAACCGCAUGGUUCAAUAGUGAAAGGCGGCUUUGCUGUCACUUAUAGAUGGAUCCGCGCCGUAUUAGCUAGUUGGUAAGGUAACGGCUUACCAAGGCAACGAUACGUAGCCGACCUGAGAGGGUGAUCGGCCACACUGGAACUGAGACACGGUCCAGACUCCUACGGGAGGCAGCAGUAGGGAAUCUUCCGCAAUGGGCGAAAGCCUGACGGAGCAACGCCGCGUGAGUGAUGAAGGUCUUCGGAUCGUAAAACUCUGUUAUCAGGGAAGAACAAAUGUGUAAGUAACUGUGCACAUCUUGACGGUACCUGAUCAGAAAGCCACGGCUAACUACGUG
rnacentral:rRNA from 1 species